rnacentral:rRNA from 1 species
UCAGGACGAACGCUGGCGGCGUGCCUAAUGCAUGCAAGUCGCACGCAGAGUGCUUGCACUCUGAGUGGCGCACGGCUGAGGAUCACGUGGGAACAUGCCUCCUUGUGGGGGACAACACCGCGAAAGCGGUGCUAAUCCCGCAUGCGCUCUCGCGAGAGAGGAAAGCAGUGAUGCGCAGGGAGAGUGGCCCGCGGCCCAUCAGGUCGUAGGUGGGGUAACGGCCUACCUAGCCGAUGACGGGUAGCUGGUCUGUGAGGACAGACAGCCAGACUGGGACUGAGACACGGCCCAGACUCCUACGGGAGGCAGCAGCAAGGAAUCUUCGUCAAUGGGCGCAAGCCUGAACGAGCAACGCCGCGUGGAGGAUGACGGCCUUCGGGUUGUAAACUCCUUUUUCGGGGGACGAUGAUGACGGUACCCCGGGAAUAAGGCUCGGCUAACUCUGUGCUAGCAGCCGCGGUAAUAC